UACGUAGGGGGCUAGCGUUGUCCGGAUUUAUUGGGCGUAAAGAGCGUGUAGGCGGCCAAGUAGGUCCGGUGUGAAAACUCGAGGCUUAACCUCGAGAUGUCAUCGGAAACCAUUUGGCUAGAGUCCGGAAGAGGAAAGUGGAAUUCCUGGUGUAGCGGUGAAAUGCGCAGAUAUCAGGAGGAACACCGGUGGCGAAGGCGGAUCUCUGGGCCUUGCCUGACGCUGAGGCGCGAAAGCUAGGGGAGCGAACAGG
rnacentral:rRNA from 1 species